rnacentral:rRNA from 1 species
CCUACGGGUGGCAGCAGUGAGGAAUAUUGGUCAAUGGGCGGAAGCCUGAACCAGCCAAGCCGCGUGCAGGAUGAAGGCGCUACGCGUCGUAAACCGCUUUUGCACAGGGAUAACACCCUCCACGUGAGCCUGACUGCAGGUACCGUACGAAUAAGGAUCGGCUAAGUCCGUGCCAGCAGCCGCGGUAAUACGGAGGACCCGAGCGUUAUCCGGAUUCAUUGGGAUUAAAGGGUGCGUAGGCGGUCGGUUAAGUCAGCGGUAAAAGCUCGCGGCUCAACCCCGACUCGCAGUUGAAACUGGACGCCUUGAGAUCACAAGAGGCAGGCGGAAUGCGUGGUGUAGCGGUGAAAUGCUUAGAUAUCACGCGGAACCCCGAUUGCGAAGGCAGCCUACCGGGGU